GCUCCCCAGUCCCCACGGCCACCUCCUCUCUUUCUUCCUAAUCUUCUUCCUCUCCCCGCCCGAUUCCUGGCCUCCUCUACCACCACAGAGGUAUGUGCGACGUCAGCCCCGCACCAUCACCUAGCCAUGGCCACCGACCAGCGCUACGACCUGAUGAGGUCGCACGGGGGCCACGAACAUGGCUUGCGGCAGCGGGGUGGGCGUUCUCGCUUCCGAGGUCCCUAAGCCAAGUGAGGACUGUUGGCCGCAGCGGCGCCGGUGAUUGUCAGAGGCGGCGCGGACGGCCUACGUGGAGGAGGGCUGUGCUCCCACUCCUCCAUCUCCACGAGGCGGCGGUGGCCGUCAGCCACAGCCUUCCACGGUUUAUUUCGUCACUGGCCAAUGUGUUACCUCCUCUUGACAAUACAUCAGAUCCAAAUAGGGAAGCCAAAUGGAAGAGAUCUUGGUCAAAUUUGAAAGCCAUAUAUCAAAGCAUUUUGGGAAAAUGGAACCAGACUCGGGAAGAUGCGUUCCUGGAAUAUGCAUGUCUUUUUGUUAGUUCAUUGAUUUGUUUGAAAAGAAGAUUACGGCGAUAAGAGUAAUAUAGAUUAUCCUUUUGAGACAUUUGUUUGUGCAAAGCAAAUUUCUUGUUUUAGUGUCUUGUUAGGCCCUGCUGUAUUUUUGUGCAAAGUUGUACUUUCUUUUAGGUUUGAUUAGUGAACACAUGCAAAUAUAUAUCAUUCUUACCAGGUUUAGCAUCUGAUUUUUUUAUCCCUUUCAUUGUUUGUAUCAACUGUAUCUGCUCUCAUUUUUGUGUGAUUUAUAUUGUCUAGGUCUGUAGACUCCGCAAUAUCGAGGAGAUGUUUGCCUCUCUGAUCCUUAACGAGAGCAGAUAUGUUUAUCCAUUUUUACACAAAGAUGAGACCAGAUUCUAGGUUUGUAGACCAUGCAAUAUCCUGCUGUAUUUUUGUGCAAAGUUAUACUUCUAUUUAGGUUUGCUUAGUGAACACAUGCAAAUCUAUAUAAUUCUUACCAGGUUUUAUUAUUUAUAUUACAUAGCAUCUGAUUUUGUUUAUCCUUUCGUUGUUCUUUCAUCAACUGUAUAUGCUUUCAUUUUUGUGUGAUUUUUAUUGUCUAGGUCUGUAGACUCUGCAAUAUCGAGGAGUUGUUUGCCUCUCUGAUCUUUAAGUACUUACCUGGAAAUUCUGUAACUACUAUAGAAUGUGGGAUGUAUGGUUUCCUACACUCCAGAUCUCCAUGGUUGGGCCUCUGAAGAUUUAGACCCACGUAGUAUUUCUUGAUUUGUCCUCUCCGUGUGGUUACUAUAGUGUAAUAAGCACUGCUAUUCAGCUUCUUUUUGUGAGAUUUCAAUAUUUUUUUCAACACAAAUAAUUAUUUUCUUUGUUGUCUUCAUUUGUGAGAAAAUCCUAAGAAGCUUUCUUCAUAUCGAAGUAUUUCAGACCAAAAAGAAUCAUUUACUUAGAGCCCUCAAUGUUGAUUAUUUAGUUGUUUCUGGUCCUAAACGAGACACUCUUUGGUUAAUUUGAGACUCUUUCUCAGGUUUCCUUUACACAUGAAUGUUUAUGCCUGUUGGUCACAGAAAUACAUGAGUGAUAUCCUUUAGGGCCACUUGUUUUUGUCUGAAUUUUCAUGUGUAACCGAAUCUAUAUUAUUGAGGCAUAUUAGUCCACCGAAUGUACACUUAAUUUUCAAGAUGAAUCCAGAAAUAUUAGUCACAAGGUGUAGUGAAUGUCUGCUAUCUUUAUGUUCUUACAACUUUUCCAACAAUCUCUUUUAAGGUGUAUGCAUAUUUAUUAGAACAUUCUUUUCUAAUGGCAUUACGAUAUCUGCUGUGUACGCAUCGCUGAUGACACAAACGGUGGUGACAUUCAUAUUUUUGAUGGGUCAUGGGGCACAACACCUAGGCCUUGGAGAUCGAUGACGAUGAGUAGGUUCUGGUCGCCGUCGUGGUACUCGUGGUAGGCCGACAGCUGAUGCAAGUUCGGCCAAUACCAAGAUCUCACCAGAAGCAUGCAUGUUCGCUGAUGCUGACCAUUAUAAGACUACAACUAUGUGUCUGUACAAUACUAUGUUACAACUGCGGUGAAAUUUGGUAAGUUUGUGCGAACCAGUUAUUAGUAACAUAGUUCAAAUACAAUAUCCUUUAGGUUUUAUACCAUUUUUGUUCUCAUCACCACAUAUUCCAUAAAAGUUCUUUGAAAAACUUAGUGAUGCGCUCAUGGUAGUAACAGA